rnacentral:rRNA from 1 species
UACGAAGGGGGCUAGCGUUGCUCGGAAUGACUGGGCGUAAAGGGUGCGUAGGCGGCGCGACAAGUUGGGUGUGAAAUCCCUCGGCUCAACCGAGGAACUGCGCCCAAAACUGUCGUGCUCGAGGGAGACAGAGGUGAGCGGAACUUAGGGUGGAGCGGUGAAAUGCGUUGAUAUCCUAAGGAACACCGGUGGCGAAAGCGGCUCACUGGGUCUCUUCUGACGCUGAGGCACGAAAGCUAGGGUAGCGAACGGG